rnacentral:rRNA from 1 species
GGGUCAGUGGGUUGGUCGUGCCACCGGUACGUACUGGUCUCACUGAUUCCUCCUUCCUGAAGAACCGUAAUGCCAUUAAGUUGGUGUUGCGGGGAAACAGGACUGUUACUUUGAAAAAAUUAGAGUGUUUAAAGCAAGCUAACGCUUGAAUACAUUAGCAUGGAAUAAUGAAAUAGGACGAUCGAUCCUAUUUUGUUGGUUUCUAGGAUUGACGUA